rnacentral:rRNA from 1 species
AAUCGAUCGUCAAAUUUGGGCAUAGGGGCGAAAGACUAAUCGAACUAUCUAGUAGCUGGUUCCUGCCGAAGUUUCCCUCAGGAUAGCAGUAACGUAUUCAGUUUUAUGAGGUAAAGCGAAUGAUUAGAGGCCUGGGGGUUGAAACAACCUUCACCUAUUCUCAAACUUUAAAUAUGUAAGAAGUCCUUGUUACUUAAUUGAACGUGGACAGUUGAAUGAAACGUUAUUAGUGGGCCAUUUUUGGUAAGCAGAACUGGCGAUGCGG